AACUCCUUAUUGCUGAAUUCAGACUUAUAUUGAAGAAAGUGGGGAAACCACUGGACAAUUCAGUUUACUCCAAUGUACUUGUGUGUUGACAAAGGUCCAUAUAGUAAAAGCUAUGGUUUCCCCAGUAGUUGUGUACAGAUGUGAGAGUUGGACCAUAAAGAAGGCAAAAUGCAAAAAAAAAAAUGAUGCUUUUGAUGUUAGAGAAGAUUCUUGAGAGUCCCUUGGACUGCAAGUAGAUCAAACCAGUCAAUCCUAAAGGAAAUCAGUCCUGAAUAUUCAUCGGAAGCACUGUUGCUGAAGCUCUAAUACUUUGGCCACUUGAUGCAAAGAACUGACUCAGACAGUAAGUAAGGGAAGAACUUCACCUUUU
ensembl:lncRNA